rnacentral:rRNA from 1 species
UACGUAGGGUGCGAGCGUUGUCCGGAAUUAUUGGGCGUAAAGAGCUCGUAGGCGGUCUGUCGCGUCGAUCGUGAAAACUUGGGGCUUAACCCUGAGCUUGCGGUCGAUACGGGCAUGACUGGAGUUCGGCAGGGGAGACUGGAAUUCCUGGUGUAGCGGUGAAAUGCGCAGAUAUCAGGAGGAACACCGGUGGCGAAGGCGGGUCUCUGGGCCGAUACUGACACUGAGGCGCGAAAGCGUGGGGAGCGAACAGG